GGCCAAUUUUAAUGAUCAGGGAGAUUGAAUUAGAUAAGGACAUGCCAAGAGUGUAAGGUUUGGAAGUAUUUUGGGGCGUUAAUCAGAUCAGGAGUAGAGG